rnacentral:rRNA from 1 species
AGCAGCCGCGGUAAUUCCAGCUCCAAUAGCGUAUAUUAAAGUUGUUGCAGUUAAAAAGCUCGUAGUUGAAUUUCGGGGUUAGCAGGUCGGUCGUGCCAUCGGUAUGAACUGGUCUCGCUGAUCCCUCCCUCUUGACGAACUGUGAUGCCAUUAAUUUGGUGUCGCAGGGAAUCAGGACUGUUACUUUGAAAAAAGUUAGAGUGUUUAAAGCAGGCUCACGCUUGAAUACAUUAGCAUGGAAUAAUGAAAUAGGACGUUUGAUCCUAUUUUGUUGGCUUCUAGGAUUGACGUAAUGAUUAAUAGGGAUAGUUGGGGGCAUUAGUAUUCAAUUGUCAGAGGUGAAAUUCUUGGAUUUAUUGAAGACUAACUACUGCGAAAGCAUUUGCCAAGGAUGUUUUGCAUUAAUCAAGAACGAAAGUUAGGGGUAUCGAAGACGAUCAGAUACCGUCGUAGUCUUAACCAUAAACUAUGCCGACUAGGGAUCGGAUGAUGUUAAUUUUUUCAAUGACUCAUUCGGCGC